rnacentral:rRNA from 1 species
UACGUAGGGUGCAAGCGUUGUCCGGAAUUAUUGGGCGUAAAGAGCUCGUAGGCGGUCUGUCGCGUCUGCUGUGAAAACUCGGGGCUUAACCCCGGGCCUGCAGUGGGUACGGGCAGACUAGAGUGCGGUAGGGGAGACUGGAAUUCCUGGUGUAGCGGUGGAAUGCGCAGAUAUCAGGAGGAACACCGAUAGCGAAGGCAGCUCGCUGGGACGGUACUGACGCUGAGGCGCGAAAGCGUGGGGAGCGAACAGG